GGGGUUGUAGAUCAGUGGUAGAGAGCUCGCCUAGCAUGUGUGAGGCACUGGGUUUGAUCCUCAGCACCACA
rnacentral:tRNA from 1 species